GGUUGAUCCUGCCAGGGGUCAUAGGCCUGCUUGUCUCAAAGAUUAAGCCAUGCAUGUCUCAGUGUAAACUUAUAAACAGUGAAACUGCGAAUGGCUCAUUAGAACAGUUAUAGUUUAUUUGAUGUUCAUUGCUACAUGGAUAACCGUGGGAAUUCUAGGGCUAAUACAUGCGUAAAUACCUGACUUACGGAGGGUAGUGUUUAUUAGAUUAAAAGCCAUCACCAAGUUCGCUUGGUGACUAAAGGGAAAGAUAAUAACCGAUCGAAUCGCUUACUUCGGUGCGAUAAAUCAUU
rnacentral:rRNA from 1 species